GCCUUCAUGGUGUAGUGGUCAGCACGCUCGACGCGUAUUCGAGAGGUCCGUGGUUCGAUUCCAGGCGAGGGCA
rnacentral:tRNA from 1 species